CUUUCGGUAGGUGUGAAUGGGGCUGUAUUAGUCACCAGAGUUUCAAGUGUGCUUCUGUUUAGUUAUCAAACUGCAAUUCCAUUGAUACCCCGUCUUGAGUGUCUCCUCUGUGAGUAACAUGAAAAGGACCUCUGGUUAAAUAGAAAACUUGUCUUGAAUUUGGAAUUACAACAUGCCCUUACUUAUUCAGGACUCAAUUAACUGAGCUUCAGGAUAAUCCAAGGUGAAGAAAAACAAGAGCUGACAAAGAAAAGAAAUGGCUCUGUCAUCUUCAUGAGCAUGAAGUCUUUGGACUCAAAGCACAGGACCCCGUCCCUUGGUGAGGCCUGCAGCCACAGAGAGGACUGAUGGAUGACAUUUGCAAGAAUGCCAUUCUGUGCAAAGCUACCAGACGGUUUGGCUAAAGAUGGAGGCAGGAGAAGAAAAAUUUCUCAGUGCUGCUGGGUUAGGGUCUCCCCAACUGAGCUGGUCUCAGCAAGUGGCAUCCAUUCGUGGGAGCUUGAAUCCAGGUCGAAGGGUCACCGGAGCAAUGGUUGGAAUGGAAAACUAGCUGGAGGACACCCGAGUACUCUAAAAGCAAUCCCCGUGGCCAAAAUCAACAGCCAAUUUGGAUACCAUCAAGACACCUGAAACCUUAUCAUGAGCCAGAUGCCAAGGAAGAGAUUCGGGAGGAUCCUGAGGACCCCCCGGUUGCAGCCAUGUUGAGACUGAUGCUGAGGAGGACCCCAACUGUCACGAGCAACACCCAUCGACCACAGCCACCCACCUGGGGACAGAUCAAGAAGCUGUCACAGAUGGUGGAGGAAAGCGGGACAACCAGUCACAAUGAAUAAUUUAAUGUCUGCAGAUAUGGAUCCUGACUCCUGCAAGAAGUAGCUCACCGUGACAAAGCUGCCCUUGCUUUUAUCGAUUUGCAAAUCAAAGAAGGGGGACAUGUUGGGAGCAGGCCCCCCCCCACAAAAAUCUGGCCAUAAACAGAAUCUCUGCAGCACUAUGACAUGUUCAUGACGGCCAUAAUGCCCACACUGGAAGAUUGUGGGUUUAUGGGAAUGAGGGCAAGGAACACCUGGCCCACCCAAGGCGGAAAACUGCUUAAAGGCAUUCUUAAGCCACAAACAAUAGCAUGAACGAUCUGUGCCUUAAGGACAUACUCCUGCUGCAGUUAACUAGCCCAACCUAUUCCUUUAAUUCAGGCCAUCCCUUCUUUUCCCAUAAGGGAUACUUCUAGUUAAUUUAACAUCUAUAGAAACAAUGCUAAUGACUGGCUUGCUGUUAAUAAAUACGUGGGUAAAUCUCUGUUCAGGGCUCUCAGCUCUGAAGGCUGUGAGACCCCUGAUUUCCCACUUCACACCUCUA